UACGUAGGGUGCGAGCGUUGUCCGGAAUUAUUGGGCGUAAAGAGCUCGUAGGUGGCGGGUCACGGUCGGGUGUGAAAGCCCGGGGCUUAACUCCGGGUCUGCAUUCGAUACGGGUCUGCUGGGGUCCGGCAGGGGAGACUGGAAUUCCUGGUGUAGCGGUGAAAUGCGCAGAUAUCAGGAGGAACACCGGUGGCGAAGGCGGGUCUCUGGGCCGGUACCGACGCUGAGGAGCGAAAGCGUGGGGAGCGAACAGG
rnacentral:rRNA from 1 species